GAGUAUCAUAUUAUAGGGCUGUUUGCCCC
rnacentral:piRNA from 1 species